AAAGCAAUAAAAGUAGGGGGAAACAUGACCAGCAAAAAAGAAACAAAAUUCAUCUCUCUCGUCUAAACUCAAGAGGGCCGAUUCUUCCUGAGUUAACAUUAUUAAAUUCAAAGGAAGCAGUACUAUACUUCCAAGCUAUAAAUGAUUGAGACAGCUAGAAUUUGACUCUAGCACAGAGAAACAAACAGACCACAUCAAACCAUAACCAGAUCAAGAUCCUCUUUAUAACAAUUCUAACACAAAAUGGAAUAUUCAUCACUCACACCUACUGGCC